ensembl:snRNA U6 U6 spliceosomal RNA
GUGCUCAGUUUGCAGUACAUAUGCUAGAUUUGGACUGUUACAGAGAAAAUUAGCAUGGCACCUGCACAAGGAUGAAUGCAAAUUUGUAAAACAUUUUGUAUUUGA